AGAGUAUAUAUAGGGGGGUUCAGGGCCUCUGGGGCAUACCACUGGGAGUCUUAGAAAUGGCUAGGGUGACCAGGAAAACUCAAACUCCACUGGCUUCUAGCACAGUCAUUCAACAAUCCACCUCAGGCACCAAAGGGAGAAAACAUACGAAGGCAACCUGUAAACCCAGAUCCAGGGAGAGUGGCAAGGUGCCCAAAACAACUACAAGGGUAGAAAGACAUCUUCGAAAGAAUUUAACAGGAAAAGCUUCUCCAAAACCUUCCACCUCUUCAAGAAAACUCAAGAAAGGUAAAAGAACAACACUGUUUGGACACUACCACAGGCUGAAAAAAGCGCUAAAGCACAAUGAGUCAGAGAGACGCCAAGAAAGGGGGGAAAAACCCACCACUUCAUGUGCUUAUCUGGGCAGCCAAUAACUCCAGAGCAAGGCCAGGGAUCUCAGACCUCCCUGCCAAGUCUCUGACGUUUGGCCCUUGAAAAUUGGCCAACUGUCUAGACAUCGAGUGUUACACCGAUGGGAUAAAACAUUCGUGAAAAUCAAAAUAAAACCAGCCUGUUACAAAAA